rnacentral:rRNA from 1 species
UACGUAGGGUGCGAGCGUUAAUCGGAAUUACUGGGCGUAAAGCGUGCGCAGGCGGUUAUUUAAGUCAGGGGUGAAAGACCUGGGCUUAACCUAGGAAUUGCGCUUGAGACUGGGUAGCUUUGAGUGUGGCAGAGGGAGGUGGAAUUCCACGUGUAGCAGUGAAAUGCGUAGAGAUGCGGAGGAACACCGAUGGCGAAGGCAGCCCCCUGGGCCAAGACUGACGCUCAGGCACGAAAGCGUGGGGAGCAAACAGG